UCCAAAGGUACAGAGUUGAAGUGGGUGUC
rnacentral:piRNA from 1 species